rnacentral:rRNA from 1 species
ACCCUUUAAUGUUUGAUGUUCUAACGUGGACCCGUGAUCCGGGUUGCGGACAGUGUCUGGUGGGUAGUUUGACUGGGGCGGUCUCCUCCUAAAGAGUAACGGAGGAGCACGAAGGUUGGCUAAUCCUGGUCGGACAUCAGGAGGUUAGUGCAAUGGCAUAAGCCAGCUUGACUGCGAGCGUGACGGCGCGAGCAGGUGCGAAAGCAGGUCAUAGUGAUCCGGUGGUUCUGAAUGGAAGGGCCAUCGCUCAACGGAUAAAAGGUACUCCGGGGAUAACAGGCUGAUACCGCCCAAGAGUUCAUAUCGACGGCGGUGUUUGGCACCUCGAUGUCGGCUCAUCACAUCCUGGGGCUGAAGUAGGUCCCAAGGGUAUGGCUGUUCGCCAUUUAAAGUGGUACGCGAGCUGGGUUUAGAACGUCGUGAGACAGUUCGGUCCCUAUCUGCCGUGGGCGCUGGAGAACUGAGGGGGGCUGCUCCUAGUACGAGAGGACCGGAGUGGACGCAUCACUGGUGUUCGGGUUGUCAUGCCAAUGGCACUGCCCGGUAGCUAAAUGCGGAAGAGAUAAGUGCUGAAAGCAUCUAAGCACGAAACUUGCCCCGAGAUGAGUUCUCCCUGAGACUUAAAGUCUCCUGAAGGAACGUUGAAGACGACGACGUU